GUGCCAGCAGCCGCGGUAAUACGUAGGGGGCAAGCGUUGUCCGGAUUUAUUGGGCGUAAAGCGCGUGUAGGCGGCCGUGUAGGUCCGUUGUGAAAACUCGAGGCUCAACCUCGAGACGUCGAUGGAAACCACACGGCUAGAGUCCGGAAGAGGAGAGUGGAAUUCCUGGUGUAGCGGUGAAAUGCGCAGAUAUCAGGAAGAACACCCGUGGCGAAGGCGGCUCUCUGGGACGGUACUGACGCUGAGACGCGAAAGCGUGGGGAGCGAACAGGAUUAGAUACCCCGGUAGUCC
rnacentral:rRNA from 1 species